CCUACGGGAGGCAGCAGUGGGGAAUUUUGGACAAUGGGCGCAAGCCUGAUCCAGCAAUGCCGCGUGAGUGAAGAAGGCCUUCGGGUUGUAAAGCUCUUUUGUCAGGGAAGAAACGGUGGAGGUUAAUACCUUCUGCUAAUGACGGUACCUGAAGAAUAAGCACCGGCUAACUACGUGCCAGCAGCCGCGGUAAUACGUAGGGUGCAAGCGUUAAUCGGAAUUACUGGGCGUAAAGCGUGCGCAGGCGGUUGUGCAAGACAGAUGUGAAAUCCCCGGGCUCAACCUGGGAAUUGCAUUUGUGACUGUACGGCUAGAGUGUGUCAGAGGGGGGUAGAAUUCCACGUGUAGCAGUGAAAUGCGUAGAGAUGUGGAGGAAUACCGAUGGCGAAGGCAGCCCCCUGGGAUAACACUGACGCUCAUGCACGAAAGCGUGGGGAGCAAACAGGAUUAGAUACCCUGGUAGUCCACGCCCUAAACGAUGUCUACUAGUUGUCGGGUCUUUAUUGACUCGGUAACGCAGCUAACGCGUGAAGUAGACCGCCUGGGGAGUACGGUCGCAAGAUUAAAACCUUAAAGAUAGUACGCGNGAGAGAGACGACGACGACGACGACGGAGGGAGGAGG
rnacentral:rRNA from 1 species